GAAUCCUUGUGAUUUACCUAACUGGAUAUUAGGGACUGCAAAGCAGAAAAUAAGAUAAUUAUGAUAUGCUGGUGUUGCAUCUCACCUGCGUUUAAUCUGAUCACUAACUUUAGAACCGAAGCCCUUCCCCUACCAGAAACUAUAACUCUACAAAACCAUUGCCAAGGGAUGAGAAUGAUACCAUUCAGCGGAACUACAAACAAGAAAGUCAAACUGGAAAACCAGAAAACAGAUGGCUAAACUCUUUUCUAAACUUUUCCAAGAGCAGUGUUUAUGCAGGUUUCCAUUGGAAGGAGAAGACUGUCUUUAGCCCACUGCAUCCCCUCAAGCCAUCCCAAGCUUUCUCUGUGCCAGGGACUGGACGCACGCUAAAAUACGAACCUGUGUGGACUUCUUUCUUAGGAGCCUUUGCACCAGCACAAGAAAGAGACAGAGACAGUGAUGGCGAGACUCAAGCACGCAUAUCUUGAUGGACUCCAAAAUGCUCUUCCUAAUUCCUUCUCUGUG
rnacentral:lncRNA from 1 species